ACUGCAGCACAAAACUUAGGAUUAAUCUUUAUAAAAGCCACACACAAAAAACAAGGUAUUAAGUUCUUAGUAAAAUAAUAUUUUGUAAAGGAAGUUCUUAGUAAAAUACAAGCAAGAACGUUACUGUUAACAGAUACGCAAUAACAAAAGGUACUUGCAGUUUCUAACUCCUAAGCUUUAAGAAGAAAAGAAAAGUCAUGUCUAUGGAGGAAGAAAAAAUAAUUAAACAAGGAUCUAGUUUUUUUUUUUCAAGUGAGAUGUUAUGCCUCAAUCCAAUGUGAGUUUUUGUUGAAGCUAAUAGCAGGAAUCACAAGAUUGUUGAUGCUACAUGGUAAGCAGCUGAUGCCACAAGAUUAUGUCACGUGCCAAAGCUUCAAAUGCAAAUAGAAUAUGCAGAUGAACUUCAGGCUUGAGACUAUGCAAAAUAACAGGCAUGGGGGGAACUGCAAGAGGUUGUAAAAAAGAAAACCAGACUACUCCCAAAUAAUAUAAAAAGCUUCACAUCAUCUUCAGAUUAUAUUAUAAGGUGAUGUAAAUAUGAAAUUGUAACACAGAUUACCAACAAUUUCAACAAAGACUAGUUCUUACUUAAUUAUUAUUAUUUUUAUGCUAGCUUGUCUCCUUUUGGGAGUUGGUUUCUUUGUAUUCUCAUACUCUUCCAUUUAUUCUCUAUCAAAACUCAAUUUAUUAUUAAAAUAAAAUAAUUUUAAAAAAGAAUGCUUCUCAAACGUGAAAUAAAUAAAUGAGAUUGUUGGUAUUACAGGUAUACUAAACUUGGGGCAAUUUUUAAUUAGGAUCAAGGAUUCAAGGCAAAAAUUGAGGACACAAAUGGGGUUAGGAAGACGGAGCAACAUUUUCUAGUGUCAUGAAAGCUUCACAACAGAUGCAAAGCCGUUAACAAUUUUGUAAUAUAAAGAAUGAAUUAAAUGAACAUUUAGAGGCCAAACAGCAAAUUUCGACCAAGUGCCUUUUGCAAGUUCUGCCAGCUAGUGGCGUUAAAUGUAAGUUUUUAUUUUUCUGAAGAUUUUCCAAAUGACAUUAUGUUUCUUUUAGUCCAGUAACAUGGUGGCAUCAGAAAUAGGAUAAUUUUGUUGCACCAAAACAUAUACUAUUUAGUUCUUCAUUACCUAUCAAUGAAUGAGUACUCUAAUUGUUGA